CUUUCUCUUUCUGCGGCCUUGUCAGCUGCAGUCCAUAUGAUCUGAAUUCCUCUGUUGAUUUUGUAGGCCGCUGUAUUUAUCUUUUUGACUCCUGGUCGCGUCAGAGGAUCAUUAGUAGGAAGCUCAUUUUGUGGAGCCCUUUCUGGUUCUGUUAGGAAUAAGAAUAACAAAUUCGGUGGAGGCAGCUGAAUGUCAACAGAUGAAGUCCUACACAUACGCUCAUGCCCACACAUUAUCUUUUUUCUCAUUUAUUAGUAACUAGUGAUUUUAGAGCAGUAAAUGGCAAGUAAUGCACUUAUUUCUUCCCAAAUAUUAUUUUAAUAAGGCAGUUGGCUUGUUUAAUCACACUAAACAUUAAGUGUUAACUGUAUAUCCCAGGGGACCUAAAUACAUCUCAUCAACGAUUGUGGUGUCUGUGUCUACUAUUGACCAUGUUAAGCAACCAACUGUCCCGUCCCUUAAACCCUCUGCUGUAUUCCUCUCGUCCCUGCCACGUCCCCAAAGUGUCUAGGAAGAGAGGCUGUUUUUUCUCCUUUGGGACAGGCUGGUGCCAGAGAAAGCGCUGUUGGGCAAAGCCCCCCCCCUCAACCUCACCACCCCGGAAAGCAAACCACAAACAAACCCGCCGGGGCCCCUGGCACCAAUACAACCACAGGCCUCAGCCCCAUAGUCUGCCUCGGUCAGCUGACUGUCUGUGUGUAUAUAUGAUUGUUUAGGGUGAGUAAAAAAAGAAAAGAUUGUAAGUCAGUAGAAGGAUUUUGAUUCAGAUUUCACCAGCGCAAAUGUUGUGGUUCAAGAUAUUUUUUACUGUAGCAGAAUGCAAAUAGGAUUGUCCUGCUACAGUUAACUGCGCCUGCCGACCACUAGGGCGGCGGUAGUAUAUAAAGGCUGCCCCCCUUCUCGCGCCCCACUGAUCGCAUCAUUUCCGGUUCAGGUGUCUGUCUGCGCAGAGUAGCGACAGAGUGCUCCGUGCACCGUGCUGCUUUUUGCUCUUUGAUCCUCUCAACCGGUGGUAGAUGUCUUCCUGCCGUCUGGGUCUUUCUCGCCCUCCCUCUCCCUGUGCAGGUUUGACCUGGGAAACCGGGAAUGCUCAUCAGCUGGCCGAAAUCCACAGGUGGUGAUUGAUGUGACCGCACUCAGUUGAUUGGGGCCACUGCUGCUUUGCCUGCUGCUAAAUGCAACUUUGCCUGCUGCUAAAUGCAACUUUGCCUGCUGCUAAAUGCAACUUUGUCGGUAACUGUCUGCACUGUUAAAUGCUGCUAAGUGCACAGUUUGGUCUCCGCCACGACGUACCUAGCGUGUCUAUUGGACCUGUGUAGUUCUUUGAUUCUAGCUGACUGAGUAGUUAAUCCUUUAGUUUGUAUUUCUUUUGGUUUGUUUCCCUUAUUUUCUUUUUGUUUCGGUUACGUGAAUUGUUUGAUUAGGACGAUUUUUAUGUGAACUGUUCUGUGUUGUACAUUUUUGGUUUAAUUCUCUUGUAACCUUCUUUUUUUGGUUAUCCUUCCUAGCGGCCGUAGGCUGGUGGUGGUGGUGGUGGCGUGGGUGGUGGUGGUCUUCCUCGUGUGUCGAGUCCCAUUGGAUUUUUGUGCUAUCACUGGGUGAACUCUGUUUUGUUUUCUCAAAGUUCGUUUUAUUAAUUUGCCUUCCCCUUCACCGGCCCUUCUCACCUUUAGGCCUUAGCGAUUAGUUUUCUUUUCUUUUGUGAUGAAUGUUAGAUUUUAUGGUAAUGUAUAUUUAUUGAAUAAAAAUGCUUUUGUAAAUUGGGAACCACGAGCCCUUGCCUACUGAGUGGAACGAACCUGUGUGCUUUAAAAGGUCUUGGGCCUAUCCCAAGUGGCGUUGUCGGAAAUCUUAAAAUCCGAGUGUUUUCUCCGUGUCCAUCAGCAAACGCCACAAUACAAUAAUACUAAUAAGUCACUAAUAAUACUAAUCCCGAGCUUCAUUGAAAUAAAAAGAACAAAACUGUAAUGCAGCAACUGUAGUGGCUGGGCAUACGAAAAGACACAAGCUUUUCAUUCAAAGAGAGCCGUGAUCUCAAUGCUUAUGCUAGCAUUGUUAUUAACAGAUAUUUGCCGAUGUAUGCAGAACAGGCAAAGAUUGUGGUGUGGGGAGUGUUUAUUUUUUUCUGUAGUCAAAUUGGGUAUGGGCAGACUUUUGUUGCAUACGUUUCAGUCAAAGCCCACCUGUAAUGUGGGAACUCUGCUGAAAUGUGUCACGAUCAUGCUUGGCUGUUUUUCUAUUUUUCAGAGUCUUAGGUGAGGGCGGGGCAGGUUUCCUGGGUCGGAGGCUGGAUCACUCCCGCCAUCACAUCUGUUAAUCAUCGACCCUCGUCUGAACACCCUUAAGGAUCUGCAGGAGCUCUAGUCUUUGCCAGAUUAUUCUUCUAGACUGUCAAGCUCCCGUUGCCGAAAUCUGCUACAUGUUUGGAGCCUUCACUGCCUUCAGUUUCACUCCCUGCCUGCUCGCCCCACCAGACUCUAGCCUCAGCAUACAGCCAGCACCCCCCUCUCCUAUCUGGACUCUCUUCUACUGCAUGCCCCUCCUUUCCUGAAGAUCUACAACAUUUCUACCUCUGCCUACAGUGUCUGCAUUUGGGCCCUCACAUUACAGGGGACGGCUAGUCGAGCUAGCCAUGACACAAUGUGAAGACAUUAUGCUUUUAAGCGGCAAAGAACCUGAGUGCAAACUGGCUAUUUGUGACACACACUGCCGUUGGUCGUCAUCCAUCAAUUGAAACUCGUUCUCACUUCCUUCUGACCUCAAGUUGCUAGUCGGACUGUAAACAAUGUCUUGGUGUGGAUAUCUCCUCGCUACAUUGGACCCCCCCUGAAAGAUUGGGACUUGCCGCCAGAUUCUAAAUUGCAACCAAGACAACAGAUAUUGUGUUUUAACUGUAUUAGCGUCUUUAAGGGUGGGAUCGACAAAGUGGCCAAUAAAAUUAGCAAUGUCUUUAUGUCAGACUACGUGGCUAUGUCAUGCUGUUAUAACGGUUUUAAUGGGGUUGACGUAGCGCAAAAAGCCAUGGGUUAAAAAUGCAAUGUAAGUCGCUUUGGAUAAAAGCGUCAGCUAAAUGACUUGUAAUGUAAUUUAAGUCAUAACAAACAUUUAUGUGUGAGACGGUUGUUUAGUCUGAAUGGUUUCUCCGCACUCUUUAAGGGAGGGUGUGGUUUGCCUCUUUAUUGUAUAUUAGAGUACAAUUAAAGUGUAAUUACAUAUGUUGGUUUAAAGUUCACAAACCGUGCUGCCAUUGCACAUUUAACGUGUUUCUUACUCCAUUUUGUUUACAGUUCCAAAUGUAUAACACUAAUUUCACAACUGGUAUUUUCUGCAAACGUUUUCAUUGUUGACUCUUUAGGUGUAAGCGAGGAUACUUUAGUGGUAAAUGAGCUCUUGGUUUGGUUUGUAACAUGAUGACAUCUUGCACAUAGUUGCCUUUCUUCACAAUGUGUGAAUGUUGAAUUCUAUCUGUACAUGUUAUAACUGGCAAAAAGACCCUACAAGCGGCGAUUAGCUUUCAAGAAAGGUGGGGAUAAUAAAAAAAGACCAACACCAAUAUUUUGUUAAAAUUGGUGCAAGAAAACACUCCUUUCCUGACAUUUAUACCAAGGGACAAAUGAUUACUGUUUAUUUUUACAAUUACAAUUCCGUCUUUGUCAGCCCACAGAACACAAGUGGGCAUUCAGCCAGAAGCAGACAUCACACCCACACUCCAGUGGUGGUGAUUAGUGAAUUUGGAAACUAAUGUUCUCUUGCCCCAAUAAUGAAGCAUUUAAUACACAGCCCUGGGAAUGCACAUCAAGCAUGGGGCAAUUCAACUCUGCUCCAACAUCUACUGGAAAGUAAAAAAAUAAGGAAAUGUUGCUGCCACAAGCUCAAGCUAGACCUCACAAAGAAUCAAAGUUCAAUGUGGACAUGGUUUGAUAUAAAAAUCUGUUGGCGUGUGUGGAACUGAUGUGUAUGUAUUUUUUUCAAUGGCAAGCUAGAGUGCAGAGAUGGCUCAAUGAUUGUUUUGUUUUUAUUUUAGUCCGUUGGAUUGGAGAUUCCAUGCUAAAAACAUGAAAAGCAUUUGAAAAGCCAAUUAAUAUAGCACUGCUAAUGCUAGUAUGUCAUACAAGUCUCCAGAUGUUUUCAACAUUUCUUUUUGACAUUAAUUUGUGUUGUCUCGAAACGGCAAUUAAUGACAUGGUGUUUCGGAUAUUGGAAUUAAGUUAAAUAAAUGCCAAGUCUGAAAGUCUAAA